CCUACGGGGGGCUGCAGUGAGGAAUAUUGGUCAAUGGACGCAAGUCUGAACCAGCCAUGCCGCGUGCAGGAAGAAGGUUCUAUGAGUUGUAAACUGCUUUUGUCCGAGGGCAAACGCUGAUACGCGUACCCGGCUGAAAGUAUCGUACGAAUAAGGAUCGGCUAACUCCGUGCCAGCAGCCGCGGUAAUACGGAGGAUUCAAGCGUUAUCCGGAUUUAUUGGGUUUAAAGGGUGCGUAGGCGGUCGGAUAAGUUAGAGGUGAAAUCCCGGGGCUCAACUUCGGAAUUGCCUUUGAUACUGGUCGGCUAGAGAGUGGUUGCGGUAGGCGGAAUGUAUGGUGUAGCGGUGAAAUGCUUAGAGAGCGUACAGAACACCGAUUGCGAAGGCAGCUUGCCAAGCUACUUCUGACGUUGAGGCACGAAAGCGUGGGGAGCAAACAGGAUUAGAUACCCUGGUAGUC
rnacentral:rRNA from 1 species